AGCAGGGUGGUGUAGUGAUUUGAGCAUUGGACUAUGACUCUAGAGACCUGGGUUUGAAUCCCUGCUUAGCCG